rnacentral:rRNA from 1 species
UACGGAGGGUGCAAGCGUUGUCCGGAUUUAUUGGGUUUAAAGGGUGCGUAGGCGGCUUUUUAAGUCAGUGGUGAAAGACAACAGCUCAACUGUUGCAGUGCCAUUGAUACUGAAGAGCUUGAGUACAGAUGAGGUAGGCGGAAUUUAUGGUCUAGCGGUGAAAUGCAUAGAUACCAUAAAGAACACCUAUUGCGAAGGCAGCUUACUAAGCUGUAACUGACGCUGAGGCACGAAAGUGUGGGGAUCAAACAGG